CGGGAAACUGCGGUUCUGGAUGUUUCCAGCUCGUGGUGCUGUGGUUAAAUUAAUUCACUAAUAGAAAAGUCGGAAUAACUUUAUUUUAAAGGCGAGAAUAAGGAGAAUAUCACCGCGCGGUGGAAAUAUGACCCUCCAGCAGCAAAUAUUCUCUCAGUUUCAGAGGAUUCCGCUCCAGUUUACACAGAUAAUUAAAGGAAGUGAAUGUUUUUGUUCCAACAUGCAUCACUGCAAGUUCUCCAGCCGUCGUCACCUGCUGCAUGUUCAUCAUUAUCAGCCAUUUCCUUCUAAUAUUGUUCCAGAUAUCCAGACGAGAGCCUUUCAGUACACCCCGAGAAACUUGGCGACGAGAACGGAGAACUCUAGUGUACUUCCCUUCACAUCGAACACGCAGGCUCACAGACAAGCUGACAGAGAGAGGAAGCGCUUUACCUGAAAUCAGACGAGCUCUCCUGAAGCCAAAGUUAGGAGAAGCAGUCAGGAGGAAACUGGCAGAUGGGUAAAACGGACCUCGUCUAACAUGAACGAGCUCAGUUCCACUGAGAACGACUACCGUGGCAGUGACUCUGCUG